CUCUUUACGUGUUGUGGUGUGGGACAUUAAUGAUUGACGCACACUGCUACACUGCCACGGAGAACAAAGUACCUUUAAAAUUGCCAACGUAACCACCCAAAAGGAUUUAUUUACCCCUCUAGUGAAUGCGGCCAAUGAGGUUACCUUAAAACAAUUCAUGUUUGUACCCUGACUGUGAUUUUAAUUUGACGCUUUUCAAAGUUCUCACGGCAUGCUCAACAUCAUUAAAGGCCUGUAAAAAAGGAACAUUUGCUUUGGUACUUUCGACUGGAGCGAGUAAGAAAACACCAAGGUGUGCAGCCUUUUGUCUAAGGAUAUCGGUGUCGCAGGGAGAACUUGGAGCAGGAGUUUCAGGGCCUUAGCCAAGCUAGAAGAGGUCAAGGGACAUGGCCACCUUCUGGACUCCUCUUCCCCCCCAGCAAAAGAAGAUUGCUGGAACAAAUCCGGUGGCUUCCAUUGGACGGAAAAAGUUGAGAACUAUUUUAGUUGACUUUUGUCUUUUUAAUUUUUUAAUGCACAUUAUUUAAAAUCUUUGUUUUGAUUGUUUAUUUUUAAACAUCCUGUUGAAUUCCUUUUUUUUUUCUUAGCUGGAAUUAAAUCAUUUAAACAACUCUAGGUAUAUUUUUCUUAACAUAGGCCCACUGAUUUGUAUUAUUUUUUUUCAUUAGUAGAUCAUAAACUUUUUUUUUUGAACAGUUGUUUAUUGUGGUCUAAACUUCGGUUUCUAUACAUCUACUGUAUGUUUUCAUAUAAAUGACAUGGCUUUAUACAUGACACUUAUUCAUUGUUAGAUGUGAACUUGUAUCAAUAAAAGGAUGGAACAAUCAA